UACGAAGGGGGCUAGCGUUGUUCGGAAUUACUGGGCGUAAAGCGCACGUAGGCGGAUUUGUUAGUCAGGGGUGAAAUCCCGGGGCUCAACCUCGGAACUGCCUUUGAUACUGCAAGUCUCGAGUCCGGAAGAGGUGAGUGGAAUUCCUAGUGUAGAGGUGAAAUUCGUAGAUAUUAGGAGGAACACCAGUGGCGAAGGCGGCUCACUGGUCCGGUACUGACGCUGAGGUGCGAAAGCGUGGGGAGCAAACAGG
rnacentral:rRNA from 1 species